rnacentral:rRNA from 1 species
CCUACGGGAGGCAGCAGUGAGGAAUAUUGGUCAAUGGUCGGGAGCCUGAACCAGCCAAGCCGCGUGAGGGAGGAAGGUACUGUGUAUCGUAAACCUCUUUUGUCAGGGAACAAAGACUGGGACGCGUCCCCGGAUGAGUGUACCUGAAGAAAAAGCAUCGGCUAACUCCGUGCCAGCAGCCGCGGUAAUACGGAGGAUGCGAGCGUUAUCCGGAUUUAUUGGGUUUAAAGGGUGCGUAGGCGGUCUGUUAAGUCAGCGGUGAAAGUCCGGGGCUCAACCCCGGACGCGCCGUUGAAACUGGCAGGCUUGAGUAGGAGAGAGGAAGGCGGAAUGCGCGGUGGAGCGGUGAAAUGCAUAGAUAUCACGCAGAACCCCGAUUGCGAAGGCAGCAUGCCGGCUCCAGACUGACGCUGAGGCACGAAAGCGUGGGUAUCGAACAGGAUUAGAUACCCUAGUAGUC